rnacentral:misc_RNA from 1 species
GCAAACUUGGUCAUUUAGAGGAAGUAAAAGUCGUAACAAGGUUUCCGUAGGUGAACCUGCGGAAGGAUCAUUAAUGAUUAUACUUUUAUGCAACCUUUGGGCUGCUAAAACCCCCACAUUUUGUGUGCAUUUGCAAUUCCUUUGGCCCUUUUUGCUUUUCCUCUUUCGGGAGUGAAAUGCAAAAGUGGGUCAUUGAAUUACACCGCUUCUAUUUGUCUGAAUGAAUUCAUGUUCUUUCUUCGUGAAAGCAACACUACCAUGUGAAUAAAGAAACAACUUUUAACAAUGGAUCUCUUGGCUCUCCCAUCGAUGAAGAACGCAGC